rnacentral:rRNA from 1 species
GACGAACGCUGGCGGCGUGCCUAAUACAUGCAAGUAGAACGCUGAAGGAGGAGCUUGCUUCUCUGGAUGAGUUGCGAACGGGUGAGUAACGCGUAGGUAACCUGCCUGGUAGCGGGGGAUAACUAUUGGAAACGAUAGCUAAUACCGCAUAACAGUAGAUAUCGCAUGAUAUCUACUUGAAAGGUGCAAUUGCAUCACUACCAGAUGGACCUGCGUUGUAUUAGCUAGUUGGUGAGGUAACGGCUCACCAAGGCGACGAUACAUAGCCGACCUGAGAGGGUGAUCGGCCACACUGGGACUGAGACGCGGCCCAGACUCCUACGGGAGGCAGCAGUAGGGAAUCUUCGGCAAUGGACGGAAGUCUGACCGAGCAACGCCGCGUGAGUGAAGAAGGUUUUCGGAUCGUAAAGCUCUGCUGUAAGAGAAGAACGAGUGUGAGAGUGGAAAGUUCACACUGUGACGGUAUCUUACCAGAAAGGGACGGCUAACUACGUG